UCUGGCAAUGAUGACACACUUGCCCUCACUGAGAACAGCAUUCGAUGAUGAGAAUUUAAAUGUACUCAGUAUUUCUGAGCCAGA
rnacentral:snoRNA from 13 species